rnacentral:rRNA from 1 species
UGCUGCGAGUGGCGGACGGGUGAGUAAAGCUUGGGAAUCUGUCUUAUGAGGGGGAGUAACUACGGGAAACUGUAGCUAAUACCGCGUAACAUCUUACGGAGUUAAAGUGUUGGGCUCUUCGGACCACACGCCAUAAGUUGAGCCCAAGUGGGAUUAGGUAGUUGGUGGGGUAAAGGCCUACCAAGCUGACGAUCUCCAGCUGGUCUGAGAGGAUGACCAGCCACACUGGAACUGAGACACGGUCCAG